rnacentral:lncRNA from 1 species
GGCCUGCUGAAGUAGAAAUGUGGACUUUUGGGAUGUGAGACCGAAAUCACUCAUAGAUAAGGGUCCUUCCUAAAUCUACAGAGUGGGCAACAAACCUAAUUCACUUGUUAAAAUAAUCAUUGAGAUGGAAAUUGCAAACGUUCUGACUCUGGAGAGACAGAGGGUGACUGGCAGGCAAAGGAGAAAUCUCAGGCUUCAGUAAUGAGAAUUUUUCAUGAGUCGCCUAAUCAAGCUCAUGAGACCUGGAGAGUCUAUGAGGAAAGGGUUCAGUGAUAGAGAAAGCCGGAGAUGAUGAGGCUGGGAGAGUAAGCUUCUCUUACCAUUGUUCUCUAUUCUCCCUACUCCCAUAUUCUUCCAGUGGGACAAAGUGCCCCAAAGUAUAAGUCAGUGUGUCCCAAGGGGUCUGGAGUUUAGGUACCUGAACAUGGAAGAGGGCCUUGCUA